UUACAGGAUGAAACACACCAUAUUUUUUAUUUUUCUGGUACCUCUUAUGUCAGAGGUAGGCUUCGGUCUAUCUCGAUGAUCUAAAUGGACUUCUGAUA
rnacentral:snoRNA from 11 species